rnacentral:rRNA from 1 species
UGAGGGAUAUUGGUCAAUGGGCGCAAGCCUGAACCAGCGACGCCGCGUGGGUGAAGAAGGUCUUCGGAUCGUAAAGCCCUUUUCCCACUGAAGAGGAAGGACGGUAGGUGGGGAAGAAGUCUCGGCUAACUACGUGCCAGCAGCCGCGGUAAAACGUAGGAGACAAGCGUUAUCCGGAGUUACUGGGCGUAAAGGGCGUGCAGGUGGCGUCUUAAGUCUGUUGUGAAAGUGCCUGGCUUAACCGGGCGAGGCCAAUGGAGACUGAGGGGCUGGAGGACGGCGGAGGGGUGUGGAAUUCCGGGUGUAGUGGUGAAAUGCGUAGAGAUCCGGAGGAACACCAGAGGCGAAGGCGGCACUCUAAGCCGUACCUGACACUGAGACGCGACAGCACGGGGAGCAAACG